CAAACUCGUGGUCCCUGAUCGAUAUUUUAUUCUUGACUUUGUAAAUAAGUUAUAAUGAACUUCACUGACUAAGGACUUUACUUGUCACAUGACUCAAGACGUCCAAGGGAGGAGAUGAUCUGCAGCAUCCUGGUGAUCUUCAUCCUGACCUCCUGUGUCUGUGCAGGGUCAUUUGUAGUGAAUGUGACACAGAGCUGGUAUCAUGCAGAGGAGAACCACAACAUCUCACUGGAAUGGAUGUUCCCCACCAGCACGGACCACUCCACCAACUCCCUUUAUGUCUCCUGUGAGAUGUUACCUGAUGAGAUACCCUUAGUCCUGUUUGUGCUACAUAAAGGUGUGGAGGUCCCAGAGUUUCAGGAUAAACGCUUUUCAGGACGAGUCCAGUGGGACAAAGACGUCCUCAGAGAAGGACGACUCAGACUUCACAUCUCCAGACUCCAGACUAAUGACUCUGGGCUGUACUGGUGUCAAGUGGACACAAGUUAUGGGAAGAACUAUAAGGAAUGUCACCUCAAUGUCACUGCAGUGAAGGAUCGACCUGAACCUGAGACAACCAGUGACACCAGUCUGAGAGGAAGGAUCGGUCUCUACUGUUCACUGGGAAUACUGGGACUAGAAGCAGCUCUACUGGGUUUUCAUUUAUUUUAUCUCUGCAUUGCAAAACAGACUAGUGAUCAACACAAAACACGACACAUCAGAACCACAAUUCAAGAUAUUAAUCUUGAAACAUUGGGACCAAAAUGAUUGACCUUCUGGUAGGACUUCUGACAUCACAGUAUGAAUGGAAGUCAAUGGUGGCAUCAAGCGUCAGGACGACUGUGGGUGGAGAGUCCAGUCAGAGGAUCCACGGUUCCAUCCCAGAGCCUGCUGACCCGCGUGUUGAUGUGUCCUUGAGCAAGACACUUGACCAGCAUCGCUCCUGUAGCUGUGACCUCACAGUGUCCAUAUUCGCUUUUUUUUUCUUUGCCUGAGAUUCAAAGGAAAUCCAGUCUUUUUGUCCUGGACCUCUUCAGCUCCUCUAACAGAGGCUCUUACUACUGAACAGAUGCUACAUUAAGCGUCAUUCUGCUCCUGAUCCAAGACGAAUGUUCCUUCUGGUUCUUGUUUCUAAAGAAGAUUUAGAUUCUGUAUGUUUACUUGCUGACUUGUUCACAUUGUUCUGGUGACUUUACGUCUGGUCGUUGCUCCACAGAAGAAGGAGACGUCACUCGGGACGUCGUGGUCGUAAAUCAUUUCACUGUCUAACAAUGUAGCCGCACCUUGCCUCAAUAUUGCAUUUUGCACAUUAUGCGAUUAAUCGCUGUCAAUCAGAAUACUGAUGCGAUUAAUCAAAUUCAAAUUUUUCAUCUUUUAUUACUCUUAUACAUACUAUAUCAUAUUUGUACAAAACAUAUACUGUUACAUUACUUAUAUUAUCCUACUUUUUUUAAAUAAACCAUUACCUUUUUAAUCAGCUUCUUAAUUUGUCGUAUUAAUUCAAAAAGUCACAAAGUGAUCAAAACCAUCCUCAAUAAUACAAAUGUAUUUUAUUUCAUCAUUUGAUCACUAAAGAAGACAAAAGGAAAGAUGUUUAGAGUCAUUAUCAGCUUCGUGAAGCAUUAAACUGACACUACCUGCUA